AUGCUGUUUUAAAACCAUUUAAACAAUUUUUUUCAAAUACUAUAAAAUUAAAUAAAACACCCACAAUUCAUUGGAAGUAAUUAUUAAUUUGACCUGCGAAGAACGUUGUAUGUGUUCAAAUACAACGUACAUGCACGCAUCCAAGUUAUUUGGGGCAAUAUGGUUGUGAG